CAGAGGUUGAAUUUCAGAGUUGAAGAUUGGAUGUAUUUCCAACGUCAUUUUACAGGCAAAGAAAUGGGCACUCAGAGGAUAAAGUGCCUGCCUCCUGAGACCUGCAGCAGGCUUGGGGCUGGAUCCAACCAGGAAAUCUCAAACUCGAGGCUGUGCCUAACACCCAUCUAUCCUGCCUCUCAGGCUUCCUCUGAGGGGUCUAAGUAAAUGCAGACUUGUCUGAAGUCUUACUGUCAGUCCUGAAGUCUUCCACUGUCUUUUCUGCUCCUCAUUACCUUUCUCCGCAACUGCACCUAGAAAAUAAUUUUGAGGGGCGGUGCUGGGGGGGGGGCGCGGGGCAGAUUUCCUUCAGUGACAGCAGAAAGAGAAAGCAUUACCCUGGACUCCCUUAGGAAUUGGAGUUUUGCUCCUGAGAAACAAAGCUGGGAAGGAGUGAAUAUUUGCCAAAAUGAGGAUGCGGCAAAGCUUCACAUCUGGCUAGUGUGUGCACAGGACAGCCCACACCGGCUGGUGAGGGGGUCACCAAACUGAUCUAACCCAGCAGAGGCAGUGGUUCAAGGGCAGAGUUCGGAGGAGAGGAUGUGCUACCUAGGGAUGUGGGGAACUUGAGAAUGACAUUGGACUUGAUCAG